UCUUCCUUUCCUGAUAUUUUAAUUGGACAGGUCCUGUCCUUAUAUUUUGUUGCCUUUUGAACAAAGUUGCAGGUGAUCAUGCACUUCUAAAGCAGAUAAUAUUGACAAUAAAAUAUCAGGUUGUUUGAUUGAUUGGCAAUGAUUUAUAGAGGGAGAGGUUGGUGAGUUCGUCUUCUUGUCCGGUUGGUAAUACAACUCUUAUUAGAUCUCUCAAUAUGUUAAUAUUCCCCCCUAUGUCUCAUAGUUUUGUUACAAUUGUGUGACUUGUAUUAUGAUACAUCUGCUGAUUCCAGUAGUUUAUAGGAUCAUAUCCGCAAAUUAACCCACUUGGAGUGUAUGCCGUUUAUGGAAAUAAGUAGUAUAGACAAUUAUGGAAAUAAGUGGUAGUCUCAUGUAUCGAGUAGCUUUUUUAAUUACAACAAAACCUAUGAUGAACUUUUGUGUUUAUGGUGGUGACAAAAGAAAGCCAAAGCUGGCGCUUGUGAGGGAAACAGCUCUGACGAAGAAGACAGGCUUGAGCCUUUUUCUGCUUGGAGUGACGACGAAGAGCUAAAAGUUACAAAAAACUGCAAUAACGUCACUCUCAAGUCUCAACCCUCAGAUUAGAAAGAAGGGAUUUCGUAUUAGUAUAGCAAAACAAAAAGCAGAAGGUGGACCGAAGAAGGAGAAUAGAAAUGAAGCUGUGUGUGGUAAAGAGUGAAGUACACGUACCUUUCUCUUCUCUUUAACCCUGUCCAUGGCAUUGGCAGUCUUCCACCUGGCUUGUCUAUGUGGCUUUCAACGCUUUUUUUUUUUCCUUAUUUUCUAACAAAUAUUAUCACGAAAUUAUUAUGUUACUAGUUUUUUUUUAGCGUCUCAAGGCUUCAAAGGCUUUGAUCCGAGGGUGUGGAUUGGAUAUGUUAUGGCCAAUUAUAUGGUUGAACUUUGAACCUUAAA